AGUGAACGCUGGCGGUAGGCCUAACACAUGCAAGUCGAACGGCAGCACAGUAAGAGCUCGCUCUUACGGGUGGCGAGUGGCGGACGGGUGAGGAAUACAUCGGAAUCUACUUUUUCGUGGGGGAUAACGUAGGGAAACUUACGCUAAUACCGCAUACGACCUACGGGUGAAAGCAGGGGAUCUUCGGACCUUGCGCGAUUGAAUGAGCCGAUGUCGGAUUAGCUAGUUGGGGGGGUAAAGGCCCACCAAGGCGAGGAUCCGUAGCUGGUGUGAGAGGAUGGUCAGCCACACGGGAACUGAGACACGGUCAAGACUCCUACGGGAGGCAGCAGUGGGGAAUAUUGGACAAUGGGCGCAAGCCUGAUCCAGCCAUACCGCGUGGGUGAAGAAGGCCUUCGGGUUGUAAAGCCCUUUUGUUGGGAAAGAAAAGCAGCAGGUUAAUACCCCGCUGUUCUGACGGUACCCAAAGAAUAAGCACCGGCUAACUUCGUG
rnacentral:rRNA from 1 species